AUACGGAGGGUGCAAGCGUUGUUCGGAAUCACGGGGCGUAAAGCGCGCGUAGGUGGAUCAAUUAGUUGAGGGUGAAAUCCCGGGGCUCAACCUCGGAACUGCCUUCAAUACUGUUGAUCUUGAGACCGAGAGAGGUGAGUGGAAUUCCUAGUGUAGAGGUGAAAUUCGUAGAUAUUAGGAAGAACACCAGUGGCGAAGGCGGCUCACUGGCUCGGUACUGACGCUGAGGUGCGAAAGCGUGGGGAGCAAACAGGAUUAGAAACCCCAGUAGUCC
rnacentral:rRNA from 1 species